rnacentral:rRNA from 1 species
CGGACGGGUGAGUAACACGUUGGUACCUGCCUCAGAGUGGGGGAUAAUUCGCCGAAAGGCGGACUAAUACCCCAUAGUCUCCGAUUUAUUCGGAGUAAAGAUUUAUCGCUCUGAGAGGGGCCUGCGGUUGAUUAGCUUGUUGGUGAGGUAAAGGCUCACCAAGGCGAUGAUCAAUAGCUGGAUCGAGAGGUUGACCAGCCACACUGGGACUGAGAUACGGCCCAG